CCCGGUAAACGGCGGCCGUAACUAUAACGGUCCUAAGGUAGCGAAAUUCCUUGUCGGGUAAGUUCCGACCUGCACGAAUGGCGUAACGAUGGCCACACUGUCUCCUCCCGAGACUCAGCGAAGUUGAAGUGUUUGUGAUGAUGCAAUCUCCCCGCGGCUAGACGGAAAGACCCCAUGAACCUUUACUGUAGCUUUGCAUUGGACUUUGAACCGGUCUGUGUAGGAUAGGUGGGAGGCUGUGAAGCGUGGACGCCAGUCUGCGUGGAGCCAUCCUUGAAAUACCACCCUGAUCUGUUUGAGGUUCUAACCUUGGUCCGUCAUCCGGAUCGGGGACAGUGCAUGGUAGGCAGUUUGACUGGGGCGGUCUCCUCCCAAAGUGUAACGGAGGAGUACGAAGGUACGCUAGGUACGGUCGGAAAUCGUGCUGAUAGUGCAAUGGCAUAAGCGUGCUUAACUGCGAGACCGACAAGUCGAGCAGGUGCGAAAGCAGGUCAUAGUGAUCCGGUGGUUCUGUAUGGAAGGGCCAUCGCUCAACGGAUAAAAGGUACUCUGGGGAUAACAGGCUGAUACCGCCCAAGAGUUCAUAUCGACGGCGGUGUUUGGCACCUCGAUGUCGGCUCAUCUCAUCCUGGGGCUGUAGCCGGUCCCAAGGGUAUGGCUGUUCGCCAUUUAAAGAGGUACGUGAGCUGGGUUUAAAACGUCGUGAGACAGUUUGGUCCCUAUCUGCCGUGGGCGCUGGAUAUUUGAAGGGGGCUGCUCCUAGUACGAGAGGACCGGAGUGGACGAACCUCUGGUGUACCGGUUGUCACGCCAGUGGCAUCGCCGGGUAGCUAUGUUCGGAAGAGAUAACCGCUGAAAGCAUCUAAGCGGGAAACUCGCCUUAAGAUGAGAUAUCCCCGGGGCUUCGAGCCCCUUGAAGGGUCGUUCAAGACCAGGACGUUGAUAGGUCAGGUGUGUAAGCGCAGUAAUGCGUUCAGCUAACUGAUACUAAUUGCCCGUAAGGCUUGAUCCU
rnacentral:rRNA from 1 species